UGCGUUUAGCUUUUAAAUAAAUGAAAAUGCUCUGCGACUUUCAAUGACUCCGAUCAGGCUGAGGGCAUCAGCCCCUUAUGCUGGCGGAAGUUGUGGUUUUAUUUCUCUAUUUACAUGGAAAAGUGAAAGCCGAGCGUAGGUCUCGAGCACAACAACGACGCGUACUUUAAACUUAAACCUUCCGAAGCUCCUUCUGUGUUACCCUGCAAAUGCAAAGUGGACGGUAACGAUGGAAACUACGGACGCAUUCUUUUCUUUUUUUUAACCUUCCUGCAACUUUGCAUUGUUGCCUGCCGGCAGAAGAGGGGGGAAGCACCUUGGCGCCCAGGUGCCGUCCAAGUCUUCCCUGUUUCCUAUGGGCAAUUCUCUUUCUUUCUCUUGGGCAAUAUUAAACGCCAUGUUUAAAAAUUCAUGUCCAAAAUCACCCCGGAAGUGGGGCACUGUGGGUGGAUCUACUACACCCCAGAAGUCUACGCCUCCGCUCGCGUUGCUUUCAUCUCCCUCAAGCGGGGAACACUUGAGCGGCGCCGAACGGGACGCGGAGUUUUUCGCUCGCGCUCCGCUUCCCCGGCUCGAUGCCUGCUGACGGCGCGCGCGCACGCGCCCUGAACCGCGAACGAAGCGCGCGCCCGUCGUUUUUAGCCGCCCGCUUUCGUUCGGCGCUCAGGCCUUAAUUGGGGAGUGGGGGAGUGUGGUGAAGAAGACACACAACAUGGCGCUCGUGCCCGGGCAGGUGCUGCGGGUCGCCAUCCUCCUCUCCUAUUUUUCCAUCCUGUGCAAUUACAAAGCCAUUGACAUGCCAGCGCACCAGACCUAUGGAGGCAGCUGGAAAUUUCUGACCUUCAUUAACCUGGUUGUUCAAGCAGUCUUUUUUGGGAUCUGUGUACUGACUGACCUUUCCAGCCUUCUGACUAAAGGGAAUGACAGCCAAGAACAAGAAAGGCAACUAAGAAAACUCAUCUCCCUCCGUGACUGGAUGAUGGCUGUCUUAGCUUUUCCCAUUGGGGUUUUUGUUGUGCUAAUGUUUUGGAGCAUCUAUAUCUAUGACAGAGAACUUGUUUACCCCAAACUCCUUGAUAAUUUUAUACCAACUUGGCUGAAUCAUGGAAUGUGUCUCCACAGGUCCACAUGUCGCUCCGACGGUGGUUGUCAGCGGCACGCAACUGGGGGUUGCAGUUCAGAGAGUCACAGAGAGUAACAGUGACUACAGAUGCAAAUUUCUUCGGCUGGGGAGCAUUGAUGGGAUCAAAGAUGACGCAAGGCCAUUGGAGAAAGACAGAUUUGCAUCACAACAUCAACUAUCUAGAGCUCAAGGCGGGGCGUCUCGCUCUCUGGCAUUUCCAGCACGACUUGCAUCACAAACACGUGUUACUUCUCACCGACAACAUCGCCAUGAAGGUACAUGUGAACAGGCAAGGUGGGACUCAUUCCAGGGCUCUGUGGACAGAGGCACACAGACUGAUCUCGUGGGCGGAGGCUCAUGUGAUAUCGAUAGUAGUGGAUCACAUUUCUGGGAUUGCCAAUCACCAGGCGGACUGGGUCAGUUGAGCCACAGUAGAUCACGGGGAGUGGCAGCUUCACCCAGACAUAUUUUAGCGUAUUUGCCACAGAUUCAGGACUCCAGUUGUCAAUCUGUUUGCAACUCCGGCGAACUCUCAACUGCUGAGAUUUGUGACCAGAUAUUGGACUCAAGGAGCCAAGGACAUGGAUGCGCUGAGAUGCCGAUGGCCAUCAGGCCUUCUCUACACCUUCCCUCCCCUUCCCCUUCUUCCAGGGACUAUCAAGAAUAUAGUGUCAGAGGGGGCGGAGAUAAUUCUAUUAGCGCCGGACUGGCCCAGGAGGCCGUGGUAUGCGGACUUGGUCCAACUGGAGAAUUCUCAGGGAGGAGACUUGCUUGUGCCAGGGAGUGUUAAUUCAUCCAGAGCCUCAAUGGCUCAAAUUAACCGCCUAGCACUUGAAAGGGACAUUUUGAGUAGGGCACAAGUGUCUGUUAAGGUUAUUUCCACCUUAGACGCAGCCAGGCGACCUUCAACCACUAGAAUAAAUAAUGCUACAUGGUUGGCGUCUAUUAGAGCAGAGGACACGUCGGUGCCUCACAUUUUAGACUUCUUACAAGAUGGGUCAGACAAGGGUCUAGCAUACAACACCUUACGUCGUCAAAUGGCGGCGCUUUCCACCAUUUUGCUAGGCGAAGGUCAGGUUCCCCUAUUUCAUCUUCCUUUAAUUAGGAGGUUCUUAAGAGGGGCUGCCAAUAUUGCCCCUCCGGUGGUACAUAGAUUCCCUACGUGAGACUUACAGGCUAUGACUGACCUCCUUUUGAGCCGAUUCACUCGGUAUCUCUUCAACUUCUAACUCUGAAAGUAAUUUUUUAAAUUGCUAUAACUUUGGCUAGACACAUCUCAGAGAUUGGGGCUCUGUCUUCACAUAACGAUCUAUGCACUUUACACCAGGAUAGGAUAACCUUAAGGUUGGACUCUGCCUUUCUGCCAAAACUUAAUACUCCUUUUCAUAGGGCACAAGAGAUAGUGUUGCCCAAUUUUUGUCCGGCUCUGUCUCACUCUAGGGAGUGAUUCUGGCACAGAGAAUUUAUCUCAAGCGAACGGCCUCGUUCCGUAAAUCAGAGGCUCUUUUGGUGUCCUUCCAAUCGUCCACGCAAGGUGCAAGGGUGACAUCUAACAUGAUAGGUAGGUGGUUGAGGAAAGCGAUUUCCUUGGCCUAUGAAACUAAAGGCAAGAGUCCCCCUCAGGGAAUCACUGCGCAUUCUACUCGCUGUGCGGCCACCACGGCGGCAUGGGCGACUAGAGCGCCAUUUGAGGAUAUCUGUAGGGCAGCUUCUUGGGCGACCCCUACUUCGUUUAUUUGACACUAUAGAUUGGACGCUUACGUGUCAGCUGAUGCAUCUUUCGGCCGUAGAGUGUUGGAGUAUUGGCUCCAUCAGCCGUUACCGAUUUAUAAUUUUUCCCUCCCUAUGGACGCUAGCUUGUGUAUGUCCCACUGGUAGCACUUCCCUCUGCUCAUCAUUGAGAACGAUUGUUGGUUCUUACCUGAAAGUCGAUUCUAAUGAUGACAGAGGGAGGGGCUACCUUCCCACCCUAGUAGGAUAGCGGCUUGGGGGGAGGAGUUGUUUGUUCCUUGUUGUGACAUUUGAUUCACAGGUUUACUCCCUACGACCUCGAGGAAACUGGACAGAAGGAGUAGAGGCGUGGCUGAAACAAUUUUCUCUCAGUCGAUGGACCAAUCAAGAUUGAUGAUAGCCCACUGGUAGCACCUCCCUCUCUCAUCAUUAGAAUCGAUGUCCAGCAACUGUUAGAAAUUGCAAUGGUUCUGAACAAGGAUUUAUCGGACCCGUACCUGAAGUUGGCAGGUGCUGCACUACCCCUGCAGUUAUGUGAACAAAAUUCAGCAUACAACUGUUUUACCCUUUAUAUUAAUUGAGAUGCGAACGACCCAUCAUGAAUAUCCCAGCAGGACCUAUGGACUGAUUGCUGUG